CAGGGGCAGAAGAAGAGGGAGAGGGAGAAGACCAAGCCAAUUCCCUGCUGAGCCCAGAGCCGAAAGUUGGCUCCAUGUGGGGCUGGAUCUCACCACUAUGAGAUUGUGAUCUGAGCCGAAAUCAAGAGUCAGACGCUCAACUGAGGGGCCCCGAAAUUUAUCCUAGGCUUAAAGAUGUAACCACUGAUCCCAAAAUGUUAGCUAUGAAACUAGGCCACACAUUAAAACUUUAGCCCACUGAUGAGCAGUAUUUCAAAAUGUGUACCCAAAGUACACGGGAAAGCAUCAGUCAUUCUAAGUUAUUUCCUAGAGAACUCUGGUCUCUAUUUUUUUUUUUGGUUUUUUUUUUUUAAGAUUUUAUUUAUUUACUUGACAGAGAGGGAACUCAAGCAGGGAGAGUGGGAGAGGAAGAAGCAGGCUUCCCGCUGAGCAGGGAGCCAGAUAUAGGGCUGAUCCCAGCACCCUGGGAUCAUAAGCUGAGCCGAAGGGAGAUGCGUAACUGACUGAGCUACCCAGGUGCCCCUGGUUUCUACGUAUUUUUAUCAACUCUGAAUUUUUCUGAUAAGUCCUUCACGUUUUUUCUUAGAUCCAAGGUCUAUAUACAAAAUGUGUUUGCUAACUAUGGCCUAUGGAAAAGAACACCCCAUUUUUGUCUUUUUGUGUUACAGAUUUCUCUUGUACAAUUUCUCCUUGAAAAUUGCCUCAGGAUAUUUGGAGAAGACAUCACUUCCUUCUUGGGAGAGAAGUCAAUGAGUCGUGACUCCGGCCAGAAAACUGUGAAAAGCUGUUCUUUCAGAGACAGGGCCUUUUGGUGGGGCUCCAGCACUUGCCAGCAAAACCAGUGCACAACCCCACAUUCUGCAAAGCCAGGAGAGCUCUUUGGAGUUUGCCUCAUGGUUGUGUGUUAUAAAGACAACCUGGCCUUCCCAAUUCUGGAUAUGCUUUCCUUUAUUCAUCAAAAAGGGCCUCUCACAAAAGGCAUCUUCAGAAAAUCAGCCAAUAUAAAAUCCUGCCAUGUCCUAAAGGAGAAACUAAAUUCUGGCUUCAAAGUGAACCCG